ACAGAUCGUUCAGAGUUUGAUCCUGGCUCAGAUUGAACGCUGGCGGCAUGCUUUACACAUGCAAGUCGAACGGCAGCGCGGGGCAACCUGGCGGCGAGUGGCGAACGGGUGAGUAAUACAUCGGAACGUACCCAGAAGUGGGGGAUAACGUAGCGAAAGUUACGCUAAUACCGCAUACGAUCUACGGAUGAAAGUGGGGGACCUUCGGGCCUCAUGCUUUUGGAGCGGCCGAUGUCUGAUUAGCUAGUUGGUAGGGUAAAGGCCUACCAAGGCGACGAUCAGUAGCUGGUCUGAGAGGACGACCAGCCACACUGGGACUGAGACACGGCCCAG
rnacentral:rRNA from 1 species